rnacentral:misc_RNA from 1 species
AAGUCGUAACAAGGUUUCCGUAGGUGAACCUGCGGAAGGAUCAUUAUAAAAUUUUCAUAUAUUAUUUAUUUUAAUAUAUAAAAUAUACACAAAAUGUAUUCAAAACCCACACUCUUAAUUUAACCAUUAUAAAAAUAUUAUAAUAUGAAAACAACUUUCAACAACGGAUCUCUUGGCUCUC